rnacentral:rRNA from 1 species
UGCAGAAUCCCGUGAACCAUCGAGUCUUUGAACGCAAGUUGCGCCCGAGGCCACUAGGCUGAGGGCACGCCUGCCUGGGCGUCACGCCCCACGUUGCUCCACGCCCCCACUCGGGAACGCGCAGGAUGCAGAGAUUGGCCUCCCGUGCCCCACGCGCGGCGGGCUGAAGAGUUGGCGCGUGUUGUCGGACAAGUCACGAUGAGUGGUGGACAUCAGCCGCACCUCGUGUGCGGGAGGAAGUCAGCACGUCGUGCCACUUGCCCGUCCCGGAGCCAUGAGAACCCUACGUGGGCGUACGCCCCUCGAUCUCAAUCGUGACCCCAGGUCAGGCGGGGCCACCCGCUGAGUUUAAGCAUAUCAAUAAGCGGAGGAGAAGAAACUUACAAGGAUUCCCUUAGUAACGGCGAGCGAACCGGGAUCAGCCCAGCUUUGAGAAUCGGAAGGCCACGCCCUCCGA